UACGGAGGGUGCAAGCGUUAUCCGGAUUCACUGGGUUUAAAGGGUGCGUAGGCGGGCAGGUAAGUCAGUGGUGAAAUCCCCGAGCUUAACUCGGGAACUGCCAUUAAUACUAUCUGUCUUGAAUAUUGUGGAGGUAAGCGGAAUAUGUCAUGUAGCGGUGAAAUGCUUAGAUAUGACAUAGAACACCUAUUGCGAAGGCAGCUUACUACGCAUAUAUUGACGCUGAGGCACGAAAGCGUGGGGAUCAAACAGG
rnacentral:rRNA from 1 species